UGCGUAGGCGGCCAAAUUAGUCAGGGGUGAAAGCUCGCAGCUCAACUGCGGAAUUGCCUUUGAUACUGUUUGGCUUGAAUCAGGAUGAGGUCAGCGGAAUGUGGCAUGUAGCGGUGAAAUGCAUAGAUAUGCCAUAGAACACCAAUUGCGAAGGCAGCUGACUAGACCUGCAUUGACGCUGAGGCACGAAAGCGUGGGGAGCGAACAGGAUUAGAUACCCUGGUAGUC
rnacentral:rRNA from 1 species